rnacentral:rRNA from 1 species
CCUACGGGUGGCAGCAGUGGGGGAUAUUGCACAAUGGGGGGAACCCUGAUGCAGCGACGCCGCGUGGGUGAAGAAGCGUUUCGGCGCGUAAAGUCCUGUUAGUAGGGAAGAAAAUGACGGUAUCUGAAGAAUAAGCACCGGCUAACUACGUGCCAGCAGCCGCGGUAAUACGGAGGGGGCAAGCGUUACGCGGAUUUACUGGGCGUAAAGAGGGCGCAGGCGGGGGAAUAAGGCAGAUGUGAAAGCCUGGAGCUGAACUCCAGAACUGCAGUUGGAACUGUGACUCUGGAGUGUGGGAGGGGGAGGGGGAAUGCUGGGGGGAGGGGGAAAAGCAGGAGAGAGCAAGAGGAAUAGUCAGGGAGAAGGCGACCUGCUGGAACAUUACGGACGCUGAGGCACGAAAGCGUGGGGAGAAAACAGGAGGAGAUAGCCCGGUAGGC